AACGCUGGCGGCGCGCUUAACACAUGCAAGUCGAGCGAGAACCGGGGCUUCGGCCCCGGGGACAGCGGCGAACGGGUGAGUAACACGUGGGUAAUCUGCCCUCGGUUCUGGGAUAGCCCGGGGAACCCGGAUUAAUACCGGAUAGCCUCUCUGGCCUUUGGGCCGGCGAGAAAAGGUAGCUUCGGCCUCCGACCGAGGAUGAGCCCGCGGCGGAUUAGCUUGUUGGUGGGGUAACGGCUCACCAAGGCGACGAUCCGUAGCUGGUCUGAGAGGACGAUCAGCCACACUGGGACUGAGACACGGCCCAGACUCCUACGGGAGGAAGCAGUGGGGAAUCUUGCGCAAUGGGCGAAAGCCUGACGCAGCGACGCCGCGUGAGGGAAGAAGGCCUUCGGGUUGUAAACCUCUUUCAGGUGGGACGAAGCCACUCGGGUGAAUAGCCCAGAGGGUGACGGUACCUCCAGAAGAAGCCCCGGCUAACUACGUGCCAGCCGCCGCAGUAA
rnacentral:rRNA from 1 species